UGGCCAGGGGAAUUCCUGGCAGAGUGAUUUUGGAAUUAGGGACUGAAUCACAUUGCCAGGGAUUUCCAAUGGCCG
rnacentral:pre_miRNA from 1 species